GUGAAUCAAUGUGAGAGUUGGUUGAAGGAACUUGUUAGUUGAUGAGUAUUGCAACUUGAGUAGAGACAUAAGAGUAUGGAUAGGCCUAGAGAAGCUAGAGUAUAAUAAGGGAGUUGCUCAUGCUAUUUGCUAUGUUUUCUUUGGGAUGUCAUAUUGAAGGCUAGAAAGUGUUUCUUUUGGUUAUAAGCUCCCAAUUUUAAAUAUCUUUCUCUUGAUUGUUUUUAAAGUUUACUUGUGGACAAGU
rnacentral:lncRNA from 1 species